rnacentral:lncRNA from 1 species
AGAAAGAAAGUUACUCUCAGCUAGAGUCAGCAAAUGUUACCUGCUUGAAUUAACAACUGUUACUGUAUCUUAACUUACCAGGUGCCCUGACAGCACAGGCAAAAUCUGUUUCUACAGUGUUAGAUGUGCCGGCUGCCUGACAUAUAAAUUGAACAUCAGAUGGUAUCUUCCCAGGAAUUAAAACGAAAACAAGACAGACUCAGAAGCCCAUUUCAUGGAGUGUGAGUUCAGAAUCUGAGGAAGAGUCAGAAAUAAACAGAGCCUGGUGAAGGAAUGUGGAAAGCGCUGCAGUGAGAGCAAGCUCAGGUGCUGGAGGACUGUGGAGGAAGAGCCCCAGCCCAGCCAGGGCGUGGAGAACAUUUUAAAGAAGCCUAGCACACCCGUGCAGCUGCAGAGCAUUGGAGGGGCCCCACGGACUCUGGAGUUGGGCUGUCUCAUCUGUGAAAUGGGAGCUAUCAGAAGUGAGAUAAAGCAUGCAAAGCACUUACACCAGCACCAUGUCUCUGUGAAGGCCCCCGUAAUGAUUAUGAAGUGCUCGUGAAUGAUGAUCAAGAGCAUUCACUAACAAGUGUGAGCUGCACCGUCUCUCAGAGUUCCUUUUGCAUUCAAAAAACCUCCUCACUUGUUCCCGAAUCAUUCUCUUUGUUCUCUGUCUGACCACAUUUUGGCCCCAAGUCAGCUCUGCUCUGCACCUUCUUUGUGGAGCUGGCCUCUGGCUCUUUUUGUCUGCUGUGAGUACUUCGUCUCCUCUGUGUCUGGCUUUCAGCUCUCUGUAAAAUUUGGCUUGGACUGCACUCUGAGCUCUUGCACUUCAGAUGGCUUCAGGUAAGUUCUCUGCUCACAUCUGGCCUCUUGAAUCCCUGCCAUGGCCCUGAGGCACCCUGGUCAACCCUCUGUCCAAGUGAGGUCCAUCCAGCAAUGGGCUGGAGUAGAGUGCCACCACCCAUAAAAGCCAAUUGUUAAAGGUUGCAGGAAUUUUGUGUGCUGGUUGUUAAACAUAACCACCUUUAAAACUUAAAUCAUCUCAAUUUGCAAUCAGAUAUAUGACACUUAGAGUUAAUAAGUACUCAAAAUUCAUUGCUUCCAAAUUAUUUUAUUACAAUUUACCAUGUGCCACAGAAAUCUGAGAAACUGCACUGCUCACAUUUAUUAAGAUCUAUAGUCUUGAGGUUACUGUACCUGUAUGGUGGAGGUACCAUGUACUGGGGUGCCACUGGGCAUCUUUGCCCAACUCUCUGUUCUGG